GCUUGGUUUGGCAGCGUAUACUAAAACUGGAAUGAUAUAAAGGUCAGAACGGCCCCUGUAUAAGGAUGAGAUGAAAAUUCAUGAAGAAUUCCAUGUUAAA
rnacentral:snRNA from 1 species